GAUGAACGCUAGCGGCAGGCCUAAUACAUGCAAGUCGGACGGGAUCCAUUGAUAGCUUGCUAUCAAUGGUGAGAGUGGCGCACGGGUGCGUAACGCGUGAGCAACCUGCCUCCAUCAGGGGGAUAGCCUCUCGAAAGAGAGAUUAACACCGCAUAAUAUCAACAGUUCGCAUGUUCAGUUGAUUAAAUAUUUAUAGGAUGGAGAUGGGCUCGCGUGACAUUAGCUAGUUGGUAGGGUAACGGCUUACCAAGGCGACGAUGUCUAGGGGCUCUGAGAGGAGAAUCCCCCACACUGGUACUGAGACACGGACCAGACGACUACGGGAGGAAGCAGUAAGGAAUAGUGGUCAAUGGGCGGAAGCCUGAACCAGCCAUGCCGCGUGCAGGAUGACUGCCCUAUGGGUUGUAAACUGCUUUUGUCCAGGAAUAAACCUAAAUACGAGUAUUUAGCUGAAUGUACUGGAAGAAUAAGGAUCGGCUAACUCCGUG
rnacentral:rRNA from 1 species